rnacentral:misc_RNA from 1 species
GCGAGUAUGGCCCUCACGGGUCUAAUCCACCACAAACACCUUUGUGAACCAGUCAGGGGGACUCGGCCGUGAAAGCCCAGGCGAUUAGCGGAAGGGUCCUCCUUUGCAAACCCGUUUAGAAGUCUUGAAAGUACUUUUGUAUAAUCUAGUA